UACGGGGGGAGCAAGCGUUGUUCGGAUUUACUGGGCGUAAAGGGCGCGUAGGCGGCCACCGCAAGUCGACUGUGAAAUCUCCGGGCUUAACCCGGAAAGGUCAGCCGAUACUGCGGGGCUAGAGUGCAGAAGGGGCAACUGGAAUUCCCGGUGUAGUGGUGAAAUGCGUAGAUAUCGGGAGGAACACCAGUGGCGAAGGCGACUUCCUGGCCUGUUCUUGACGCUGAGGCGCGAAAGCUAGGGUAGCAAACGGG
rnacentral:rRNA from 1 species